rnacentral:RNase_P_RNA from 1 species
GGCGGAGGGAAGCUCAUCGGUGGGGCUACGAGCUGAGUGCGUCAGGUCACUCUACGCUACGUCCCUUGGGAAGGUCUGAGACUAGGGCCAAAAGCGGCCCUAACAGGGCCCUCCCUGUUCUCGGGGAGGUGAGUUCCCAGAGAACGGGUCUCCGCGCGAGGGCAGACUGGGCAGGAGAUGCUAUGGUUCCCCACCCCCGUGGGGCCUGGCGGAUGCCUCCUUAGCCGGAGCUUGGAACAGACUCACGGCCAGCUCUCCAGAGAGUUCAAUGGCUGAGGUGAGGUACUCUGCAGCGGGGCCUCAUAACCCAAUUCAGACUACUCUCCCCCGUC